rnacentral:rRNA from 1 species
AUUGAACGCUGGCGGCAGGCCUAACACAUGCAAGUCGAGCGAGCGGCGGACGGGUGAGUAAUGUAUGGGGACUGCCCGAUAGAGGGGGAUAACUACUGGAAACGGUAGCUAAUACCGCAUACUAUCGGAUAACCCAUAUGGGAUUAGCUAGUAGGUGAGGUAAUGGCUCACCUAGGCAACGAUCCCUAGCUGGGCUGAGAGGAUGAUCAGCCACACUGGGACUGAGACACGGCCCAGACUCCGACGGAGGCAGCAGUAGGGAAGAGUGCACAAAGGGCGCAAGCCUGAUGCAGCCAUGCGGCGGGAAUGAAGAAGGCCCUAGGGUUGUAAAGUACUUUCAGUCGGGAGGCGGUACCUACAGAGGAAGCACCGGCUAACUCCGUGCCAGCAGCCGCGGUAAUAC